rnacentral:rRNA from 1 species
CCCUUAGAUGUUCUGGGCCGCACGCGCGCUACACUGAUGCAUUCAACGAGUUUCUUCCUGGUCCGAGAGGAAUGGGUAACCUUUUGAAAGUGCAUCGUGAUAGGGAUAGACUAUUGCAAUUAUUGGUCUUCAACGAGGAAUUCCUAGUAGACGUAGUUCAUCAGACUGCAUCGAUUCCGUCCCUGCCCUUUGUACACACCGCCCGUCGCUCCUACCGAUUGAAUGCUCAGGUGAGCCAUUCGGACUUUCAUCAUGCUGGUUUCCAGUUUUGAUGAAGGAAAGUCUUGCGAACCUUAUCAUUUAGAGGAAGGAGAAGUCGUAACA